rnacentral:rRNA from 1 species
UACAGAGGUCCCGAGCGUUGUUCGGAAUUACUGGGCGUAAAGCGCGCGUAGGCGGCUUUGUAAGUUAGAGGUGAAAGCCCGGAGCUCAACUCCGGAACUGCCUUUAAAACUGCAUCGCUUGAAUCCAGGAGAGGUGAGUGGAAUUCCGAGUGUAGAGGUGAAAUUCGUAGAUAUUCGGAAGAACACCAGUGGCGAAGGCGGCUCACUGGACUGGUAUUGACGCUGAGGUGCGAAAGCGUGGGGAGCGAACAGG